ACACACUCUGCAAUGGCCUCCGGUCGGUGUUGAUGCAAUGUGAUCUCUGCCCAGUGCUCUGAAUGUCAACGUGAGGAGAUUCAUCAAAGCGCGAAUAAACGGCGGGAGUAACUAUGACUCUCUUGGUGCCCCUUGUUUACGUACCGCCAUACCAGGUAUGGCACUGCAUAGAUUGUUGGCACUGGGCACGUCAUCGCAUCCUGCGUGCGCCGUGGCCCUUGCAGCUGCCGCACAUGGUCGACUUGA
rfam:Ixodes scapularis strain Wikel colony gcontig_1108379599574, whole genome shotgun sequence.